UACUUUAGCCAACCAACCUAGCGAGCCCGAAUCGACGGCCGAAUUCCCUUUUUAUUUUUGUUUUUACUAUUUUUAGUAAGUUUUGGUUUGAUUGUAACACUUAAUUCGUUGGGCUUUAGGAGUUGUGUCCAACAUAAAAAAUGCUUAAAAUAAUUAGGAGAAUAAUGUGGUCAAGUCAAAUAGGAUACUAUAAAUAGUAAAUUUACUAUUUAUAGUAAGUUACGAAUUUUAGGGAGUUUUAGUUGUAGUUUAAUUCCGAAACUUCUUCCAGGCUUGGUAUCCAUAUUUAAACGGUUGUAGAAUUGUUUAUUUCAAUAUCAAUCAAAUUAUGACAUUUAUAGAAUUUAUUUUCUAUUUUAAUUACUUUUUUCCUCGUGGAUAUUUGAGAAGUCUCUGUGAGAAGUCCAGAUAAGCUCCGUGGAUUCAAAGUAGUUAUCCUUGAGGAAGACGGUGAUCGACCUCAUUACGUUCAUCCCUGCGUCAGCUAUGGCCUGUCCACAUGGUGACCAAUUAGAUGGACAUUCAUGAUCACAUGUUUUCCAUGUAGACCAUGCGGAUGGAGCUACAUAGAACUGACUACAACAAGAGCUGCACACUAGAAUUCAUCUGGCAGACAAGCAAUUUCUUAAAUGGCAUCGCCAAUUAUAUGGAGUGAGCGCUUUCCGCUUAAAGAGGUACGUUUUAUUGCACGUUUGAAUGCAUUAGCCACUAUGGCAGCAAUCGUAUAUAAGCAUAUUUCUACCUCUUCUACAUAUCAGGGAAUCUAAACAUAGCACAAACAGAGUACAUGGUAACUUGGGCUAAAAUAUACUUGUUAGAUUGCUGAAAUUACUACCAAAACAGAAACAACAAUUGAAGAUAAACGAAAAAAAAAUCAAUAGGUUAAAAAAAAACACCUACUACUCAUAAAGAACAAAACAAAAACAACCAUCAACAAA